GGACUCAUACUGAAACCUAGUGAUUUAUGAGUUAGUGGCGGACCGGUGAGUAACGCGUGGAUAACCUGCCGUAUACCGGGGGAUAACACUUAGAAAUAGGUGCUAAUACCGCAUGAGCGCACAGCUCCGCAUGGGGCGGUGUGAAAAACUCCGGUGGUGUACGAUGGAUCCGCGUCUGAUUAGCCAGUUGGCGGGGUAACGGCCCACCAAAGCGACGAUCAGUAGCCGGCCUGAGAGGGUGAACGGCCACAUUGGGACUGAGACACGGCCCAGACUCCUACGGGAGGCAGCAGUGGGGAAUAUUGCACAAUGGGGGAAACCCUGAUGCAGCGACGCCGCGUGAGUGAAGAAGUAUCUCGGUAUGUAAAGCUCUAUCAGCAGGAAAGAUAAUGACGGUACCUGACUAAGAAGCCCCGGCUAACUACGUGCCAGCAGCCGCGGUAAUACGUAGGGGGCAAGCGUUAUCCGGAAUUACUGGGUGUAAAGGGAGCGUAGACGGUUAAGUAAGUCUGGAGUGAAAGGCCGGGGCCCAACCCCGGGACUGCUCUGGAAACUAUUCAACUUGAGUGCAGGAGAGGUAAGCGGAAUUCCUAGUGUAGCGGUGAAAUGCGUAGAUAUUAGGAGGAACACCAGUGGCGAAGGCGGCUUACUGGACUGUAACUGACGUUGAGGCUCGAAAGCGUGGGGAGCAA
rnacentral:rRNA from 1 species